rnacentral:lncRNA from 1 species
AUGGCCCAUCUUAAGUCAGGAAAACCUCUACCAAUGAACAGUCGUCUUUUGUGCCUUGCCCCAGAGAAUGACAGCAGUACCCACCUCAUCAGAGUUGGAGGUCGUCUCCGAAGAACAGAGCAGUUAGACGAAUCCGCCAUACACCCUAUAGUCCUCGACCCUAAGCAUCCCCUGAGCAGACUCAUCAUACAGGACUUUGAUGAAAUUCUACACCAAUCAGGAGCAGAGAGAGUGUUUGCUGAAAUACGUCGUAAGUACUGGAUACUGAGAGGCCGAGAAGCUACUCGGCAUCACCAGAGAACAUGCUUAGGCUGUCAACAAUGGAGAGGCCAGCCCAGCAUUCCCAGGAUGGCGGACUUGCCUCCUUCAAGACUGCGUUUACUUCGACCACCCUUCUACUCUACAGGAGUGGAUUGUUUCGGCCCUUACCUCAUCAAGAUUGGGCGCAGACAUGAGAAACGAUGGGGUAUCAUAUUUAAGUGUCUAACAACAAGAGCUGUAUACCUGGACCUGCUCUAUCAAAUGGACACAGAUUCUUUCUUAAUGGCCCUCCGAAGAUUCAUCUCCCGUAGAGGCAAGCCAUUUGAGAUCAUCUCUGACCAAGGUACAAACUUUAGAGGUGGCAGGAAAGCACUACAGGAAGAUUUUGCUGUGCUCCAUCCUUCCCUCCAGGAGCAAUUAGCAAGCCAUCAGAUUAGUUUUAAGUUCAACCCUCCAGGUGCUUCACACUUUGGGGGCUGUUGGGAGAGAGAAAUAAGAUCCCUAAAAUCAGCUCUCUGUUCUAGUAUAGGGGAUCAAAUUGUGACCGAGGAAGUACUGCGUACUGUGCUUGUUGAGAUUGAAGGCAUUCUCAAUUCGAAGCCAAUCGGAUAUACAUCCUCAGACAUAGCGGACCUUGAUCCAGUCACUCCCAACAUGUUGCUCAUGGAGCGGCCUGACUCAGCCUUGCCACAAGUAGUAUACCCUGAAUCAGAGUUGCUGAACAAACGGAGAUGGAGAUACAGUCAGCUUCUGGCAGACCAAUUCUGGAGAAGUUUCCUCCGUAAUUAUCUCCCAGACCUGCAAGUCCGACAGAAAUGGCACAGAGAGGCAGAGAAUCUACAACCAGGCACAAUUGUCAUGAUUGUUGAUCAUCAAUUACCCCGAGCUCAAUGGCCAGUUGGACAAGUAACAAAAGUGUUUCCUGGGGAAGAUAGGCGAGUCAGGACUGCAGAAGUGGAAGUCAAGAAUAAGAUCUAUCUUCGUCCCAUCAGCCGGCUAAUCAGCCUCCCAGCUUUACCAGAUUGA